rnacentral:rRNA from 1 species
UACAGAGGUCUCAAGCGUUGUUCGGAUUCAUUGGGCGUAAAGGGUGCGUAGGCGGCGCGGUAAGUCGGGUGUGAAAUCUUGGAGCUUAACUCCGAAACUGCAUUCGAUACUGCCGUGCUUGAGGACUGGAGAGGAGACUGGAAUUUACGGUGUAGCGGUGAAAUGCGUAGAUAUCGUAAGGAAGACCAGUGGCGAAGGCGGGUCUCUGGACAGUUCCUGACGCUGAGACGCGAAGGCCAGGGGAGCAAACGGG